rnacentral:lncRNA from 1 species
AAAAGUUUUAUUGAAACAUGGCCCUGUGUCAUUUGUUUUCAUGUUGUCAGUACCUGCUUUAGUUGACAGUCCAGUGGGCUUGGGUUUUUUUGUUUGUUUGUUUGAUUGAUUGAUAAGUUUUAUAGGAGUAUUGUGUGUGUGUGUGUUUGUUUGUUUGUUUGUUUGUUUGUUUGUUGAGACAGAGUAGCCUAGACUGGCCUUGAACUCACUAUGUAGCUGAGGGUGGCCUUGAACUCAUGAUCCUCCUGGCUCUAACUUUCAAGUGGUGAUAUUACAAGUGCGUACGUAUAGGAUUUCAGAUGUUCAACACCAUGCUCAGCUUUCUGCUGGGGUGCUGAGGAUCUGACCUCAGGUUCUCAUGCUUCCGUACUGAGCCCAUCCACACUUUGUUCUGUACCUUCCACAGGAGCAGAGGAAUGGGAGAAAGCCAGAAAUCCAUUGAAAGAUACUUUUAAUCCACUUAGGAAUACUUACGUAAAUACAUCUUGAAAACUUAAACUGGAAAUAAGCUUACACCAGAAUGAAACCAGUAGGCUGUGCAGGGGCUGGCUGUGGUCAGGACUCAGCAGGUGAAGGUGCCUGCUGCCCAGCCUGAUGAUCCGAGUCCACUUUCUGGAAUCUCCAUGGUUGACUGCCUCCAAGAGUUCCUUCUACAGCUGGAAUGCAAGAUCCUGAGUGGAGUCCAGGUGGUGGGUCUGGGAGCCUCCAGAGAGUCAUGGCCAGUCAGGAUGGCUGCCGUCCCCGUGCUUCUGGAGAGGGGCUUAGCCAAGAGGAAGCCACCCCAAAGGCUGAUCUCCUGACAGUUGAGCCGGUCCCCUGACAUGUGGCAUGCUGCAGAGCCUCGGAGGAAAGAGACAGCAACACUGACGAAUGAGCCCAGUCUUCUGCAGGCGUUUUCUCAUCUGGGGGUCCCUCCUCUCAGAUGACUCUAGCUUGUGUGAAGUUGACACAAAUCUAGCCAGCGGACUGCAUGAAACUCGGAGACUGGUCUUGGUGAGGAAACCAAAGGAGCUGACUCAGAAAGUCAACGGGAACCAAGAUACCCUGCGCAGCAGAGAAUUCAAAGUAUAUCAGGCUCAUGCUGGAAGAAGGCUCGGCAGUUAAGAGCAUAUACUGAGUCCAGAGGACCUGAGUCCACUUGCCAGCAAUCACACCAGGUGUCUAUAACUCUAGGUCCAGGCCAGAGCUCUGCAGCACCUACAACCAUGUGCGCACACACUUACAUAUAACUAAGACUAAUAAAAAUGAACGUUUUUAAAAAAUGUCAUGCGUCAGAACCAUCAGUUCAGAACCUGUGUGCUUUAUUUAGAGUUUUUCCGGUCAGCUCGGCAUGAGCUGGAGUCAUCUGAGAAGAGGGAACUUCAGUUGAGAAACCACCUCCAUCAGAUGGGCCUGCUGGCA